GCUUGUCUCAAAGAUUAAGCCAUGCAUGUCUAAGUAUAAAUGUUAUACAGUGAAACUGCGAAUGGCUCAUUAAAACAGUUAUAGUUUAUUUGAUAAUCGAAUCUACAUGGAUAACCGUGGUAAUUCUAGAGCUAAUACAUGCUGGUUAGCCUGACUUCGCGGAAGGGCUGUAUUUAUUAGAUAACAAACCAAUAUUCCUUGUGUCUAUUGUGAUGACUCAUAAUAACUGAUCGAAUCGCAUGGACCUUGUCCGCGAUACAUCAUUCAAGUUUCUGCCCCAUCAGCUUUGGAUGGUAGGGUAUUGGCCUACCAUGGCUUUAACGGGUAACGGAGAAUUAGGGUUCGAUUCCGGAGAGGGAGCCUGAGAAAUGGCUACCACAUCCAAGGAAGGCAGCAGG
rnacentral:rRNA from 1 species